CAGGCACAGGCACAGGAGAUGCAGCCAGCACCACAGCACCUCUUCCAGAUUCCCAGAAGGGCAUCGGAAGGGGUUUCUGUCAUGGAACAGGCUACUCGCUAGAGUUAAUGGCAGGCAUGCUUCUUUUGAAGCUUGUCUUCAUGUUGUGCUGCUUUAGAAUCUGGUAUUCCUGGAAGAGAAAAUGUCGCAGCUCUGGACAGGAGAUGAAAGCAGUGGCUUCCCCUCACACCCAGACUGCUUGUGGAGCACCUCCAGCAGUAAUAAGGGCCUGGUCAGCCCUUUCUGGAGUUCUGAGAAGAGGACACCAGUAGAUCUGUCUACGAGGAAAUCUCCAAAGACCCUGUAGAUCCCACUGCCACUUCCUCUCCCCAUGGGUAUCCCCAAGCUGCCUUCACCCGUUUUUGAUCUCCCUCUGUCCCGUCCCAGCCCAUUCCCCAGUUCUUCUAAAGACCCCGGUACCAGCCCAGCACCCUCCA